rnacentral:rRNA from 1 species
GAUGAACGCUAGCUACAGGCUUAACACAUGCAAGUCGAGGGGAAACGGCAUCGAAAGCUUGCUUUUGAUGGGCGUCGACCGGCGCACGGGUGAGUAACGCGUAUCCAACCUGCCCAUCACUUGGGAAUAACCUUGCGAAAGUAAGACUAAUGCCCAAUGACAUCCCACGAAGGCAUCCGAAUGGGAUUAAAGAUUUAUCGGUGAUGGAUGGGGAUGCGUCUGAUUAGCUUGUUGGCGGGGUGACGGCCCACCAAGGCAACGAUCAGUAGGGGUUCUGAGAGGAAGGUCCCCCACAUUGGAACUGAGACACGGUCCAAACUCCUACGGGAGGCAGCAGUGAGGAAUAUUGGUCAAUGGGCGAGAGCCUGAACCAGCCAAGUAGCGUGCAGGAUGACGGCCCUAUGGGUUGUAAACUGCUUUUAUAAGGGAAUAAAGUGGGUCACGUGUGACUUUUGGCAUGGACCUUAUGAAUAAGGACCGGCUAAUUCCGU